AUAAAAAUGGUGCGGCGUAUUGUUAAAAGUUGUAGGAAUAAAACAACGGGGGUUCGUGAGGAAGCUGUGAAUUUUUUUUCAGCUACCGAAAAAUGAAGUGACGCGGGAAGGAUGGCUGAAAAAAAUAGGAGGCUAUGUUUUACCACCAAAAGUUGAAUUUGCAAGGAUAUGCUCGGUUCAUUUUAGUCAAGAGUCCUUUCAUCAAGGUCGAGCACGGAAAGACCCUAUUAAGAAACGUCACCUACUACCAUCGGCUGUGCCAACGUUAUUUUUGAAUUGUUCAGAAGCUCCAAAUGUAAACAAGAAUGCGGUGGCUGAACC